GACAACACUGAUUGACAUACUGAUGUUUUAGGACCCACCUAAUAAAAGAAAUGCAACAACUUAAAGUCAAAUACUCAAACAUCUAAGAAGUUAUAUUGUUUCAUGUCAUUUUGAUUAUCAACACAAAUUAUAAUAAGGGUAUUCCUAGUUCAAAAGCUAGGAUAAACAAAGCACACAAGUAACAUGUUGUUUGGAAUCAAUUCUCUAUUGUAAUUGAAUUCAAUUAUAAUGUUUAAUUGAAUUCAAUUGCUAAAUACAAUUCUCCUUAACUAACCCUUUUAUUCUAGCAUGAGAGACACGCAACUCGUGCGCAUAUAAUUGAUUAAUGGAACAUUGUGGAUUGAAAGUAAAACGGUGUGCUUUGAUAAUGGCUACAAUUACUUGAAACAUAGCCUUCUCAUUUAGUUCAAUUUGUGCAUGUAACAGGUAUCCAUUUGAACUCGACCUUAUCCUUAAAGGAGAAAUUUGAAAACCUAUAUUGAAUUUCAUCAGUAUGCUCUUAGGUUGCUUCUGACAGGGAAAGACUUUUCCAGUUUACUAGAAUUUAUUGGUUGUCUGGUUACCCUUCUUCACCAUCCUUUUGUCCAAGAUUGCCUAUGGAACUACCUUGGAAGCUAGAGGAAUAUUUGGCAAUAUCACCUGCAUUACCAUGUUUCCAAUGUGUUUCUUUAACUAGGACACGUGGAAGACUAGGUAGAUAGAAGUAGAUGUAGGCAAUAGUAGCUUAGAAGCAACAGAGCCAACCUUCUUUAAAAUCAAGUUUGGUCCAUAGAAUUUUGAAGGUAGUUUUUUGAAGUUCUUUGUGCCACUAAUUUUUGACGAUAGGGUUGUAGUUUAAGAUAAACUAAGUCCCCUGGAUUGAACUGUCUUUCACUGCGUUUUCAAUUGGCUAGUAGUACCAUUCUUUGUUGAGCUUGUAUCAAGUUGUCUCUCAUUUUAGCAAGCAUUUCUUCCUUCUGUAUAAGCAAUUGAUCUACAGCCUCCACAGUUGAAUCUUUCAGAGAGUAGGGAAUAUGUAGAGAAGAGGGGAAACCAUAGAAUAUCUCAUAAGGGGUAGACUUAGUAGUUGUGUAGUAAUUAAUCUUGCCCUUAAAUCAACCUUUGAAAACACAGUAGCUCCUACUAGUUCUUUCAGCAGCUCUUCUACUAUAGGAAUAGAGAACUUGUCCUUUACCGUCAUUUUGUUAAGAACCCUGUAAUCCACAUAUAACCUCUAAAUGUCAUCUUUCUUGUUUUUACCAAGACCACUGGUGAGGCAAAUGGAUUGGUAUUGUAUUGUACAAUGUCAAAAUCUAACAUCUUUGUCACUAUGUUCUCUACUACAUCUUUUUGUAAACUAGAGUUUCUAUAAGGCCUCAAGUUGAUUGGUUGUGAUGCCUCUUUGAGGGGAAUAACAUGGUCAUGUGUCCUAAAAGGUGGUAGCCCAAUAGGUUCCUCGAAAAUAUCUUGUUAAGAAGUCAACAGAUCUUCUAUAGCUGAAUUACUGGUCAUAGAGUUUACGAUGUGAUCACCCCUUUCCAUUAAUCUUAGGCUGCACAAACUAACCUCCACUAGUUGAGUUGGAUUGUCAAUCAAACUAUUGAAUUGCUCAAAUCUAAUAGUUUGUAGCUCUGCAACAAUACUUAUUGCCCUUGUCAUACAAAAGACAUCCAUAAUUCAUUGUAAUUGGAUAGGAUGUUACCCAAUGUAUCCAACCACUAUACUCCUAACACCAUGUCACAGUUGUUAAGUUCCACCACAAACACAUCGGUUGAGAACUUAACUCUUUGCAUUCUCCACAUAAAUCCUUUGCAUGCAUGGCCUCAAGUCAUUUUACUACCAUUUGUUGCUUCUAUUGCCACAGGUCUAAUAGGAGUGAGGGUAUAAUUCAAUUUAUUGGUCAUUUGAGUGUUGAUAAAAUUAUGUAUGUUGUCUAAGUCAACCAUGAUAAAGAGUUGAGACUUGUCAACUUUUCUAGUCACUUUUAGUGUCUGAAAACCUGAAGUACCCUCCAAGGCAUUGAUGGAUAUUUGGGGUUGAAAAUAUCAAAGUUAAUCUCACUGGUUUCUUGGACUUCCUCUUCUGCAUUAUCCUUAUCUUCCAGAAUGUACAAUGAAUACAACCUCUUGUUUUUGCAUCAAUGUCCUAGUAUAAAUUUUUCAUCACACCAAAAACAUAGUCCCUUCACCCUCCUCUCAUUCAGUUCCUUGUUUCUAAUGGCUUUUAUGGGUUUGUAAGGGGUUUUAACAUGGUAUCAGUGGUUGGAAUUUUCGGGUGGAAGGAAACUAGUUUUGAAGUGUUGUUAUUGUGAAAAAUUGUGGUUUUAGUGAUAUUUUAGGAAAGGGAGGGUUUUUGUUGGUUGACAAUACUUGUAAACUGGUGGGUGUUCUUUGAGAAGGAUUGAUGGAGGUGUUUGUGGUUGAUGGUUUUACUUGUAGUCUAGCUAAGUUAUAAGCUUGGUAUAAGGUUUUUAGUUCAAACCUUUUGACCAUGUUCUUAAUCUCAACUUCUAAUCCCCCAAUAAAAAACACUAGAGCAUGCCUCUCGGUCAUCUCUGCCUUAUUUCAGAGUAUGUCAAGUUCUUGUUUAUUAGUGUCAUUUGCUUAAGAUCUUUCCAUUCUUAUAGAGGAUCCUUUUAGCCCCUAAAUCGGCAGAAUAGUGCCUCAAUAUAUUCAUCCUAUAGGACCUCAAGAUGGUUAUUAAUAAAAUUCUAAUGUCAAUAUAAGGCUCUCCCAUCCGUGUAAUAGGAUGUUUGUUUGUGUUUUUCAAAGUCAUUCAUUUCUACAAUUUCAAAAUACUAGUUACAUCUGAAUAACCAUUUAUGGAUAUCGUCCCCAUUAAAACUAGGAAAGUCACGUUUGGGUUUGUAUACCUAAUGAAGUUGUUGACCUUCUUCCUUUGCCCAGCAACCUUUAGUAGCACCAUUGGAGCACCCUAGCUGCUCUCAGCUUCUACAUGAAGGUACUUUACUGGAAAGUUAACCCACUUAUCAAGUCGUUGAUGUCACCAAACUUAGCCUUAUGGCUAUUCAAUUUCUGACCAUACCCUUCCAAUAACUUUGUUACUUGUUCAUACUUCGUUGCUUGCUCCUUGUUGGCAGACACAAGGGAGUCUUCCAAGCGCCUCAGAUCCUGUGCUCUAGUGUCUGGAGCCAUGGCAUGUGUCCAAGGUUCGAAGGCUCUGAUACCAACUGGUACAAGAAGUAUUUUCAAAGAACCCAUCUGGAUUGAAUCCAGUAGUUUGGACAGAUGAUAAUCACAAAAUGAAAAAAGGAAAAGAAACAGUAAGGGGGAGUUGGCAAUGAAAAUGGUCUCUCGUCAUGCAUUCAUCAUGUUUUUGUAUAUCCCUAUUCUGUUACAUCAUGCUAUAUAUAUAGCAUUUCUUCCAAACUAUUCUCCUUAACUAACCCUUUUAUUCUAGCAUGAGAGAUGCAAUUUGUGUGCAUACAAUUGAUUAAUAGAACGGUGCGAAUUGAAAGUAAAAUGGUGUGCUUUGAUAACGGCCACAAUUACUUGAAACCUAGCCUUUUCCUUUAGUUCAAUUUGUGCAUGUAACAAUAAAGCAGUUGUAGGUGAUGAGGGCUAUUGUUUUUUCAGCAACAAACAAAAUAAACAAAAAGUCAAAGACCUAAAUGAUUCAAUAAAAUAUAAAUAAAAAAUAAAAACAGGGUUUAAUGGUGAAGAGCUUAGGACCUCCUCCUCCUUCUUCUUAAAAAUUGAAAACAAUACAAUUUACUUAAUUUUUUUUAUUGGGGUACCUUAUUCUUUUUAUUCUUAUGCCAAAAGGUCACCCAUGCCUUUUCUUUAUUUUUUUAUUUUAUGAUUGCUUGUAAUAAUAAUGAUUUUUGUCAAAUUAAUUAAUACUUGAAAUCUUGGUUUAGACUAUAAAAGAUCAAAAUUCCAACCAUGGAUGGGAAAAUUAACCAUUCCAAAGAAAAUAAAACUCUAUCCAAUGGAUGCAGACAACAAGUGAAGAAUUUUAUAAUGUUCAAAGAAUAACUAGUGAUAUCCUAUUAAUUAUUCUCAAGACUCAUCUUAAAAAAAAAUAGACAAAAAGAAAAGAGAAGAUGAGACACAUGACCCAUUUUAAAAUGUACUCCGAAGAAAAAAAACAUAAAAAGAAAAGAAAAUAUCACACUAAAAGUGAUAAGAAUAUUUUUACUUAAAAUUUCUCUCUUCUAAUUAUAUCUAUUUUUUAAAAUUAGACUUAAAAAAUAACUAACAAAACGGUCCCUAAUUAUUCCCUGAGCACCAUAAAUUUUUAUUAAUAAAAAAAAUCAUAUCCCAAAUUAACUUGAAAAUAACCUCAUUUAAAAACAAAACAAAAAAUUGUCAAAUUAUAGGCUUCCUUGGUUGAGUUCAUUUGUCUUGAAUUUGAUUCCCUUGUUUACCUUCGAAAGGAAAAACCCAAUUUGGGUCUCAGCACCAAGUUGUCGAAUCAUCCAGAUGCUGCUGUCACACAGCAAGUUGGAGAAAUUGAAGAAACGUUUCAGAAGAACCUUUCAAAAGAGAGCAGCGGUUCAGAUGAGGUAGAUAUCGAUCCAACAUUCAAAAAGUAGA
rnacentral:lncRNA from 1 species